UGGGGAAUCUUGGACAAUGGGGGCAACCCUGAUCCAGCCAUGCCGCGUGAGUGAUGAAGGCCUUAGGGUCGUAAAGCUCUUUCGCCUGUGAAGAUAAUGACGGUAGCAGGUAAAGAAACCCCGGCUAACUCCGUGCCAGCAGCCGCGGUAAUACGGAGGGGGGUUAGCGUUGUUCGGAAUUACUGGGCGUAAAGCGCACGUAGGCGGACCAGAAAGUUGGGGGUGAAAUCCCGGGGGCUCAACCCCGGAACUGCCUCCAAAACUAUUGGUCUAGAGUUCGAGAGAGGUGAGUGGAAUUCCAAGUGUAGAGGUGAAAUUCGUAGAUAUUUGGAGGAACACCAGUGGCGAAGGCGGCUCACUGGCUCGAUACUGACGCUGAGGUGCGAAAGUGUGGGGAGCAAACAGGAUUAGAUACCCUGGUAGUCCACACCGUAAAACGAUGAAUGCCAGUCGUCGGGUAGCAUGC
rnacentral:rRNA from 1 species